rnacentral:lncRNA from 1 species
GUUACAUAUAGAAUUUUCUUUUCAAAGACCUAGAUCAAAUAUUUUGGAUAUAAAAGGUCUAUAGAGAUAGAUCCUAAAGGAUAUUUUUUUUCACAGAUGAGUAUACAGAAGAGGUGCUGAAAAGAUUCAGUAUUGAAACCUCCAAGAGAGAUCCGUUAUCUUCUUAGGCAUAGGUAUAUACCAAGCUAUGUACUCAACUUGGUAUAUCUUACUGUGAAAGUCACGAGC